rnacentral:rRNA from 1 species
UACGUAGGGGGCAAGCGUUGUCCGGAAUCAUUGGGCGUAAAGCGCGUGUAGGCGGCUCGAUAAGUCUGCUGUGAAAGUUCAGGGCUCAACCCUGAAACGCCGGUGGAAACUGUCGAGCUAGAGUCCGGAAGAGGCGAGUGGAAUUCCUGGUGUAGCGGUGAAAUGCGCAGAUAUCAGGAGGAACACCAAUGGCGAAGGCAGCUCGCUGGGACGGUACUGACACUGAGACGCGAAAGCGUGGGGAGCAAACAGG